rnacentral:lncRNA from 1 species
CUUGUCAAAGAUAAUGUGAAAAAUUAAUUAUUCCUAUAGCAACAGAGUUUGCAAAUGCAUGCCACUCAAUGCGCAAAUCACAUAGUUUACUCGCACAUAUGGAAUUUGGUUAAGCAAAAGGUUUAUAGGCUAGACUUAUAUCUAAUUUGCUUGCUUAACCUUUGGAUUUUGUUAGCAGAAAUUGACAAAUAAUUAUUAACCUGAAUGGAAAGUAUGGUUCUACAAUUUCUUAAAGGCUUGUUUUAAAGUUGUAUUGGAUGAAAUGAG